AUGGUCAAGAAGAUGAACAAAAGAAAAAAGAUGGUUAGGGGAGCUGUUGUUUUUGUUGCACUAGCUGCAAUGGUGGUCAUUGUUCGGGCUAUAAUAAGGAAAAAAAGACCACGGAUUACCUAUGGGCCGAUGCAUGAAAGAGAUCGAAUCACCUACGGGCUUUUGGAGAUUUCAUAUGUGAACUUAACGUGUGUGGCUGAAGUAUGUGCACUGGACAUGUAUGACUCUAUUGUACUUUGGUUGCUUUUGGGAAUUUCGUAUGUGAACUACACAUGCACCUUGUUGAAAACUGUGUUAUAUGUGCUGUCAUUUAUAUCUUCGGCUUGUCAAUAUAUAUUGUUGUGCUGUCUUUCUUGA
rnacentral:rRNA from 1 species